UGGGGAAUAUUGCACAAUGGGCGCAAGCCUGAUGCAGCCAUGCCGCGUGUGUGAAGAAGGCCUUCGGGUUGUAAAGCACUUUCAGCGAGGAGGAAGGUGGUGAACUUAAUACGUUCAUCAAUUGACGUUACUCGCAGAAGAAGCACCGGCUAACUCCGUGCCAGCAGCCGCGGUAAUACGGAGGGUGCAAGCGUUAAUCGGAAUUACUGGGCGUAAAGCGCACGCAGGCGGUUUGUUAAGUCAGAUGUGAAAUCCCCGGGCUCAACCUGGGAACUGCAUUUGAAACUGGCAAGCUAGAGUCUCGUAGAGGGGGGUAGAAUUCCAGGUGUAACGGUGAAAUGUGUAGAGAUCUGGAGGAAUACCGGUGGCGAAGGCGGCCCCCUGGACGAAGACUGACGCUCAGGUGCGAAAGCGUGGGGAGCAAAACAGGAUUAGAUACCCUGGCUAGUCCACGCUGUAAACGAUGUCGAUUUGGAGGUUGUGCCCUUGAGGCGUGGCUUCCGGAGCUAACGCGUUAAAUCGACCGCCUGGGGAGUACGGCCAGCAGGUUAAAAUCUCAAAUGAAUUGACGGGGUCAUAGCUGUUUCCUG
rnacentral:rRNA from 1 species